GGCUCCAUCACAUUUCCACCAGAGAAGGGUGUCUCCGUCUCCCUGAAUAACAGGCUCACGACAACAGGCAGUUAUCUCUGACCCUGCUUGCUCCUGUAUGGUGCCGACCGGACCUGCCAUUGCAUCGGCUUUUCUUUGAAGGAGACUGAAGGAGUCAUCUUUUUUUGGGUGGUUCGGGUUGCGCCUCUCCCUCCUCCACUCCGAUGGCCACUGGACCUGCUGCUGCUGCUUGCAGAAGUUGUGGGGGGUUUUUUGGGACCAACUCGCUUGAUGGCUUGCCAUCUUUUCUUCGCUUUCUCACGUCUGAGCUGUCACGUGACGACGUCACAUCCAAAAACUUUAUCAAAUGUCAUCCUCUGACAACAGUUAAGAGAAACAUUAUAACCUACUAUUAGUUUUAAAUUGUAAUAGUAUUAAAUUGAAAACUCAACCACACAUACAUAGGUGCUGGACAAGCUCUCAUUAUUUAGGCAUUAAAUAAAUUAUAUUUAAUAUUAUAUCAGACCCCUAUAGGCCUAUAUGCGCUGAUACCGUUGCUAUUUUUAAAUACCGCGGGAUACAUUAUUACCGUAUUAUCGCCCAACCCUAGUGGAAAUGUAAAUAAUGUGGGGUUCCUUUUAGUAUGUAAAGACAGCACAUUAAUUGGCUUAGACAAACAGUAUUGUGUGACGUCAAUGGAUGGAUUGGUGGUAUUUCAAACCCUUUCAGUACUUGAAACUGUGACUGUAUUUAAUCCAUACAAUACAUAAACAACUGGUUUUCUGUGCUUUCUGUGCAAAUAAUUCACACUGUCUGUAGUAUAGAUAACUGAGUUAUGUGCUUGUUAAUAUUUACAGGGCAAGCUUCAGUAGCCUUUCUUACCAGUUCCGAGUGGGAGUAUCAGCAAUUCGGCAAUUGGUUCCUGAAACCUGUUUUAAAGGAGAAAUACUUUAAGUGCCCAGACACAAUUGAAGAGUGGCAGCAAGUAGCCGAUGGAUUCCAGUAGAACUGGAUUAGUGGAUUAGUAGAACUUCCCAAACUGCCUAGGUGCUCUGGAUGGGAAACACAUCAACCCUCCCACACCAGGAACUGGAUCAACAUUCUACAACUACAAGCAUACAUUUUCCAUAGUCCUAAUGGUACUGGUUGACAGCAAAUACAAGUUCCUUUAUGUAGAUGUUGGUUGCAAUGGGCGGAUUUCUGAUGGCGGAGUGUUUGGUGGAUGCUCACUGCAGGAUGCUCUGGAGAACAGAACAUCCAACAUCCCUGCCCCUGCAUCACUUCCUGCUUCUGACCAGCUGGCUCCUUAUAGACCCCUUUUGCGUAUACGUCAUGAUUACGUCACAGCGUUAGUUGGAGGCAAAACAAAGGGGAGUUGGGCACAUGAAAACUGCCAGAAUAUCAAACCGGACAAACUUGGACCAAAAUGUCAUCUUGCUGUGUUGUUGGGUGCCAAAAUCGAAGGAGUAACGUUACUUGCUCAAACUUGAAAUUCUAUCGCAUACCAGCUGCCACUGCCAGUCAAAAAAAACGAAGACAACUUUGGUUAAACGCGAUAAGGCGAAAGGACUGGACUGAGACCAUCAUCAACAAUGCCCGUGUCUGCAGUGCACACUUCAUAUCAGGAGAGCCUUCUAUGGAUAAAGACAGCCCAGACUUGAUUCCCUCAGUGUUCUCUUAUGGACGGCAGAGUGACAGGCCUGCAGAAAAGCUGGCAAGGCUGGAAAGGAAAAGGAAAAGGGAAGCUCGGACAGAGGAGCAGGAGGAGGAGGCUCCUUGCCAUGAUAAGUACAUUUAAAUUCUGUUUUAUGUAUUGUAUUGUAUAUUAUUAUUACUUUUUUUUCUUUUUACAGAUGUCAUGCACAGUGGCGGCUCCUGCCAAAUUUCUCAGGGGGGGCAAAUGUUGUGAUGAUGGCUGAGGUGACCCGUUCAGUGGGUAAAUUUGAAUUAAUUUGGCUCUGCAAUGACUGAACAAUCCACUGUGGUCAUCAACAGACUAAUUUUCAUCAGUUUGCCCACACAAAUACCCUUGAAUGUAAACAGAGACCUGUUUUACUGAUAAUCAAAUAAAACUGAGUAAGGUAUUCACUGAGUCAUUGUCAGUCUUAAUCAGAAAACAUUUUAUUAUAGCUAAGUGGAAAUUAAUUUUGUGUUCUGAUUAAAGAAAUAAAUGCAGGCAUAUCCUACAACUUAAUACAAUGCACAUCACAUAGUAUCACUGCUCUUUGACCUGACCUGAACAUUUUUUGUUGUUGUUUUUCAGUUUCAGUUACAGUAUGUAUUGGGGGGACAUUUUGGGCAUUGGGGGGGAAAGUAUACAACUAUAAUGGAAGACGUGUUUGCAGAUAACACACUCAAUCAUUUUUCCAAACUUUGGCUUCUCACAUGUCUUGCAAAAUACUGGUGGUUGGAGGGCAGGAUCUUGGCUAUGAGUUAGAAGUUCUGGCAGAAUACAAGAUAUAUAACAUAGUAUUGCCUUAGGUAAAGCCUUCUGCAAGAGCUGUUCGUCUCUUGGGAUGCGAUUUACAACUAGCUCUCGAGUUGUCCACACAACAAAAUCACAAUACUGGACAUUGCAGACAAACAUAUGGAGUUGGACCUGGUGGUAAUAAGGAUGUGUCUUCUUUAGAUGGAAUGUUUGGUCAAGGCAGAAAUCUUCAGUGACAGUGGCAUCCUGUAGGCCUUUCCUGUACUUAUAUGGACACUUAAUUUCCACAACCCCUUCCCCACAACGCUCACAUUCUACUUUACCAUCUGGAGAUGCGCCGAGGUGUGGUUCAUCAUGUCGUAUCACAAAACCACAGAGGCUAACCUUUACAUUUUGAUGACAUUUUUUUACCUCUUUGAUGUAGCACUGCCCUGCUGAAAAAAGUUAGAGAAACCAUUAGGCAUAUUCUAUUGGUUUCUAAUGGUUCCUAAUGGUUUUGUAAUGGUUUCUAAUGGCUACUUAUGUUUUCCUAAUGGUUCAGUUUGUUUUUCUAAUGGGAUUCUAUUAUCUACUACACAAAUACACAGGACUUUAACUGGUCCCUACUAAUGAUUCCUACAGGAGUCCAAUGGUUCCUACAGGAGUCUAAUGGUUCCUACAGGUGUUUCUAUACCAGUCUAAUGGUUCCUACAGGAGUCUAAUGGUUCCUACAGGAGUCUAAUGGUUCCUACAGGUGUAUAAUGAUUCCUACAGGAGUCUAAUGGUUCCUACAGGUGUUUCUAUACCAGUCUAAUGGUCACUACACAGUGGUCACUACAGGGUGUAGUGGUCUCUAAUGGUUCCUAAUGUGAUGGAGGAACACAGAUGUUAUAGCCUUGAUUGGCAAUCACAUCUGUGUGAUUUCUAGUGGGUCCUUGUGUAGGAUAUAUAGUAUGUUUGUAGAUUGCAGUGUUCAGUGAUUUCAUUAAAUACAUCCCAGCCAACACGUCCAAGUAGGGCCCCCAUGGGAUUUACUUGGGUUACAUGGGCUUUAACUGGGCAUGGGCUCAGAGUGGGCUUUUAAGUGGGUUGGUGCUGGGCCCCAUGUGGGCAUCCCAGAAGAAUAUACAUGGGCGAGAGAUGGGCAUCCCAGUUGGCCAGCACAUAUGGGAACUAGAUGGGUCCCAACUGGGCCAUAGCCUAUUGUGAAAUGAGCUGUAAAUUUAAUUGUUUUAGGUAAAAUAAUAUUGUUAUAUACUGCUGUAUUAUUGACACUUAAGGUGUCAUUAAAAUGUUUUGGUAUUUAAGCCACUAUAAUGUGAGGUAAAAAAAAAAAAAGAAAAACCUGAAUAAACUCAACCACAGCCGUAGAUAGCCUAUCUGCUCUUUAAAAUAGCCAGUGCAUUUUUUUUAUAAACAGUGUGUGCGCGUGUGUGUGGCGGGGGUUGUCAUGGAAAUGAGAGAAAGUAAUCUCACGAUAACCGGAGAUGACUCAUUCAUUCUGGAGUUGCUGCUCAGGAUCAGCACCUAAAAUAUUUCAAUGGUUGAAGAAGAGUUUUGAGUUGGGCCAAACAGUGUCGAAGGUAAGUCCUGACUAACAAACAACACUAUAGAACUGAAAAAAAGCACUGUGUAGUUAAACCUAAAAGUUUGUUCAACUACUUUUUUCCCUUUAGCGACGUUCUUGGCUAGGUGGCUAAACAUCCGUUAGCUAGCAUGCUAUGACUCAAAUGAGUUUAACAUGUAAUGUCCUAACUUGCCAAUGUAGACUCACUAACGUUAAUUAUGUUAGAACAACUGUCAGACGAUCGACGCUCGUAUCUAGAGGGUUUUUUUUCCAAAUAUAACGUUAGGUUUGACAACAAUUAAUUUUCACGUAGUCACGAAGAAGUACUACAUUACCCAUAAUCUCAACGUCUACCAGCGGGGUCUGUGAUUGGCUAAACUUUUUUUUUUUUUACCUGCGAACGGUGUUUCCGUUUCCGCUAGGAGGCUCGCAUGUUGGCUAACGUCAUGACGAUUCGUAAUGCAUUUUAUGGCACAGUGAGUAUGAUUUCUUAUGCUAUAUGUACACAGACAUAGAACAACACAUACUAUAACACAGUGCCACGCAUGCGUUAGCAACAUAGAUAUGCCGUCAUAACGCCGAACGUUAACUUCGUGACAGUUAAGCCCAGCAUACACUGUACAAUUUUUAAAAUCUUGUUGUUAAUACCAGCUCACACUGUACGAGUGAAUCGUCUGCGAUGUGCGGCCAAAGCAUACGAUUUAUGUGCUCACACUGUACGUUCCGAUCAUCAAGCACGAUCAGAGAGCUCACACUGUACGGGUGAAAACGGCUCGUCGGCCCCUGCUGACUGUUCUGCCCGUUGACAGCUGUCAAUAAAGAUACAUUUGAAUGCUCCGAUUUGUUCCGGAAGCGAUGUUGCCAAUGAAGCAGGACAAGCGGUUUGCUUUAAUGAUUUGCGCUAUACUGUGUGCCGAAACGUCCAAAAAGAAGAGGCGUCGACGCAUAUGGACUCGCAGAUGGCUUGAGGGACGUGGACAGUAUGGUUUGUCAAUUUUACAAUGAGAGUUGGAGGUAAGCCGGCCGUUACUUUACUGUUAGCUUGAUAACAACCGUACGCUAACGUUCCCUGUUGUGCGGUAGCUAUUAGCCCCAAAUCUUACUAACUACGUUUUGAUUUCAUAUCACAAACAUUUGUUUUAAUCAGGGGACAUAGUUAACUUUCUGUCCACCAGCUAGUGGCCAGUAAAUGUUAAAGUUUUACCAGCCACACGCAAUAGAUUUAAGCACCAGUUUGCACAAACAACUUUAAAGCAGAUGUGUAUUUCUGUAGCUGGCGUUAAGCUGUGGAAUUCCUUACAGAGUGACUUAAAGGGCUGUUUGAACAUAUUUCAGUUUUAAAAAAUGUUUAAAGAAAAAAAAGUUGCAUUGUAUGAACUUGAUAGUUAGGUUUCUAUAUUGUGUACGAGUGUUGAGACAGAAUUUAUUUCUGUUUUCCUUUCAUGUUAAUGUUAUAUUGACUAUAGAGUAACUGUAAUCGGGCAGACUAUCUGUUUCUAUUGUUUAUUUUUGUUUUGAGUGAGGGGCAGGUAAAAUAAGAUUUUCUUCUUCCUGCUCCUUUUCGGUCAAGGAAUAUGUUUUAGUUGAUAGUUGUUUUUUGUUUGAAUGAUUUUGAAUAUUGCCAUGCUCGGUACAAAUAAAUAAAUGAAAUGAAAUAUACCUGUCACUUGCAUAUUUUACUAGCAUUUGGCUGGUGGGCCUAAAUGUUGCUGACUUACAACCAGGGCUGCCCCUGACCAAAUUGGGGCCCUAAGCGAAAUUUUAUUUGGAGGCCCCCAUCCCAAAUGUAUCAUAGGUACAAAAUGACCGUACAACAACUUGCCAUUUAACUUGACAACCUUUACUGGCAAUAACAAAUGUACUGUAGAUACAGUAGUUUGGCUGUAUGAGUCAAAUAAAAUAAAAAAAUCCAACCUGAAAUAAAUAAAUAAAUAUUAAAUAAAAAUAACUUCAAACUGAAAUAAAUAAAUAAACAAAUCUGCAGUCACAAAUAGCCAUCAAUUACUCAUCAAAAGAAAGUAACUUCCACCACCUCAAUCCCCCACCCUUGAUUAAACACUGAAAAUAAAAUAAAAGAGGGAGACAGGUUUUUCCUAUUUAAUCUUAUUUUAUUAUAUUUCUCCCUCUCCCCUCUCUGGAG